rnacentral:lncRNA from 1 species
AUCGCCUUCUAAGUUCCAGCUCUAGGUGAGCCAUGCAAAGCUCGCCGCGCCUCCGCCCUUCCUCAAAUCCGUAUAAAUACCACAGCGCGUCGGCGUGCACUGCAACAGCGAGCCAGCCAGCCAGCAGAAGCUCGAGGAGCCCACGCCAGCGUUUGAGAGAAGAAGACGUUACGUACGGUACGAUGGCGCCGAGCACCGUUCCGCGCGCGCUGCUGGCCGUGUCCCUCGUCCUCCUGGUGGCCGGCGGCCUCGGGCCGGCGGCGGAGGCGCAGCGGCCGGGGGAGUGCGUGCCGCAGCUGAACCGGCUGCUGGCGUGCCGCGCCUACCUGGUGCCCGGCGNNNNNNNNNNNNNNNNNNNNNNNNNNNNNNNNNNNNNNNNNNNNNNNNNNNNNNNNNNNNNNNNNNNNNNNNNNNNNNNNNNNNNNNNNNNNNNNNNNNNAAAGAUCUAUAUUCAUAUAUCAACUUCGAGAUGAGUACUUAUGCUUUAUUAUUGUUGACUUUACCCUUGAAGUAAAUGGUUGGGAGGCAAAAUUAUAAGCCCCUAUCUUUCUCUGUGUCGAACUUAAACUUUGAUACCAUGAGUACCACUUGGGUUCUAACAAUUGUGGAAAACAAAAGAGAUGAUUGAGUAUGUGAUUUGCUUUACAAGCUCUUAUUUGACUCUUUCUGAUGUUAUGAUAAAUUGCAAUUGCUUCAAUGACUAUGGACUGUUGUUGGCUACUUCUCAAUAAGGUUUUUGUUUCAUACUUUGCUUUGUGAAGGAAUUGUUACUUUCCCAUAAGAAUCUUUAUGAUGUAUUGUUGUUCUAUGAGUGAUCAUGAUGCCCUCAUGUCCGUAUUAUGUUUUAUCGACACCUUCGUCCCUAAACUUGUGGACAUGUUUAUGGAUCUUGGUUUUCGCUUGAGGACAAGCGAGGUCUAAGCUUGGGGGAGUCGAUACGUCCAUUCUGCAUCAUGCUUUCAUGUUGAUAUUUAUCGCUUUAUGGACUGUUAUUAUACUUUGUGGUAUCAUACUUAUGCCUUUUCUCUCUUAUUUUGCAAGGUUUAUUUGAAGAGGGAGAAUACCGGCAGCUGGAAUUCUGGACUGGAAAAGGAGCAAGUCUGAGUCCUCUAUUCUGCGCAACUCCAAAUGCCCUGAAAAUAAACGUGGAAUUUUUUGGGAAUAUAUAAAAAAUAUUGGGCGAAAGAAGUGCCACAGGGGAGCUGCUAGGGGCCCACAAGCCUGGUGGCCGUGGCCUGCCCCCCUGGCCGCGGCAACAGGGCUUGUGGGCACCCUGGUGGCUCACUGGCCCCCUCUUCUGCUAUAUGAAGGGUUUCGUCCGGAAAAAAAUCAGGGCAAAGCUUUUUCGUGGAUUCUUCGCCGCCAUGAGGCGGAACUUGAGCAGAACCAAUCUAGAGCUCCGGCAGGACGAUCCUNNNNNNNNNNNNNNNNNNNNNNNNNNNNNNNNNNNNNNNNNNNNNNNNNNNNNNNNNNNNNNNNNNNNNNNNNNNNNNNNNNNNNNNNNNNNNNNNNNNNGCGCGAUAUUUUGCCAUGAUGCCCUUUUGUUUAAUUCGUAGGAUUUAUUCCGUGCUCCGUUUGAUUAAGUUGUCAACUAGGGAGUUGUUCUUGGGUGUUUAGACUAGCCCUUGGCAGUUUUAGUUGCAAUAGAAAUGCAUGUUUAGGUGUGGUUUGAUUGCUAUCAAGUUGGUAAAAAUAGUGCUGUUUUAGAGGAGCUGAAAUAUUUCUAAGUUUGAAAUAUGUUAUUAUUUUGUUGCUGUCUUGUCUUGCUUCUAUCUUGUGAUCUGUNNNNNNNNNNCGUGUGGUUUGAUUGCUCUCAAGUUGCUAGAAAUAGUGCUGUUUUAGAUGAGCUGAAAUAUUUCUAAGUCUGAAAUCUGUUAUUAUUUUGUUGCUGUCUUGUCUUGCUUCUAUCUUGUGAUCUGUAGCUCUUUUGAGGUUGGUCCAAUGGAGUUAGUUGUACCCCUUGUGUUUAUCUAGCAUGCUAUAAAUUUUCAUGCCAUUUGGAUUCUUGUAGCUUAUGAUUUUGCUGCUGUCAAUAUUGCUUCAGAUCAAAAACUGCACUUUCAUGAGGUGUAAUUUUCACUAAGUCUGAAAUAGUGNNNNNNNNNNGUUUCAUGCCAUUUGGAGUCUUGUAGCUUAUGAUUUUGCUGCUGUCAAUAUUGCUUCAGAUCGAAAACUGCACUUUCAUGAGGUGUAAUUUUCACUAAGUCUGAAAUAGUGUGUGAGAUGCCAUUUUGUGUCUUCUUUUCCUAGUGCUCCUUGCUUCCAUGCUAGUUGUUGUUAGUUGUUUGUAGUAGUGCGUCUUGCCCUCUUUCGUGCCAUGCCUUGCUUGAGCAUAUCGGAGUUGUGUAGCUCGUAGUUGUGGGGUGUAGAAAAUGCUAUGUGGCUGAUUUUGGCAGCUUGUAGUCAUUUCUUGUUUGGCUCGUAGUUUUUGAACCGUAGCUCCGAUUUGAUCUUGUCCUACGUGAAACUUGCUUAGAAUCUCGUGUAGUUUCAUUUUAUCUUGCUGGUUGUAUGAUUUGAGGUGCUCGUAGCCGUCGUUGCACACAUAUUGCAUUCAUGCCAUCAUAUCUUGAAGUGCUUGUACCUUUUGAUCUGUAGCUCCGUUGGAGAUGUUCUCCAUGUGUAGAUUGCUUGAAAUGACGCGUAGAAUCACGUGAACCUAUUUGUUUUGCUGUUUAACAACAAAUUAAAUGCAUUAGUUCAGAUCUGGACAGAAUUGUAAAUUAACAUGUGAGGUCGUCUCGGAGAUGCUAUAUGUCAUUUCCGACCUCAUUUAAAAUGCCUAGGUAGGUAGAUUAAUUGCGCUUCACCUCUUGCCAUGUUUAACCACAUUUAAUAUUGCCGUGUAUCUAAUCUGGAGUGAACUAAAUAAUUCAUAUGUGGAGUUCCGUCAAUAUGCAACCCGUUGCAUAUUGAACUUCACUUAAUGUGUAGUGUUUGAUUGUGUGAAUUGUCAUGCCGUGACUUGCAUGUAUUCAACUGCUCAUGCAUCAUAUGUGUUGUGCAUCGUGUGGUGAAUUCGUGUGUUGAUUCGUGUUUCCGGUUUGCUUCGUCUCGAUAGAGUUCCGCAAGCGUGUCGGAUGUGAGGACCCGUUCGACUACGUCGGUUCGUCUGCUUCACGGAGAUGUUCUUCUUCCAAGCGGGAUCUCAGGCAAGAUGAUCAUUUCCCCAGAUACCAUUACUAUCAUUGCCAUGCUAGUUAUUUCGAUGCUAUCAAUUAUGUCUCGUUGCCUACCACAUGUUAAAUAUCAGCCUCUCAACAAUGCCAUGAUUACCUUCAACCUGUUCAACCUAGCGAACCACUGAUUGGCUAUGUUACUGCUUGCUUAACCCUGUGUUAGCGUUGCUAGUUGCAGGUGAGAUGCUUCCAUGUGAAAGCAUGGGUUCCUUGUUAUAUCACCAUAAUUAAAUGCUAUUUAAUUUAAUGCACCUAUACACUUGGUAAAAGGUGGAAGGCUCGGCCUUUUUAGCCUGGUGUUUUGUUCCACCUUUGCCCCCUUAGUUUUCGGCUACCGGUGUUAUGUUCCAUAACUGAGCGCUCCUAACAUGAUCGGGGUUGUUAUGGGGACCCCCUUGAUAAUUCGUUUUAGAUUAAAGCUGGUCUGGCAAGGCCCAACAUUCGUACUACAUUUGCCUAAUCACCUAAUAAAAUUGCAUAGGGACCCGCCGGCACCCGCGGACUAUUUUAAUCAACCCCCGGGCCAGUGCUCCUCAUGAGUGUUGGUCCAAAACAGAGCAGCUUAUUAACGCUACCCGGGGCAACUCGGCGUUUGGCGUGGUAACCAUCGCUCAUCCGUCGUGUCCUGAGAAUGAGGUACGCGACUCCUAUCGGGGUCAUCGACACGUCGGGCGGCCUUGCUGGAUUAGUUUUACCUUUGACGAGAUAUCUUGUGCAUCGGGAUUCCGGUGAUGCUUUGGGUAAUCUCAGAGUUGAGGUUUUCCACUAGGUAAUCCGACGAGAUCGCGAACUUCAUGAUUGAGAAUUUCUAUGCGGCUUGUGGUAAUUUGUGAUGGACUAGUUGGAGCACCCCUGCAGGGUUAAAUCUUUCGGAAAGCCGUGCCCGCGGUUAUGUGGCAACGUGGAAACAUUGUUUAACACUGGUUCUAGAUAACUUGAAGUUAACUUAAUUAAAACAUGCCAACUGUGUGCGUAACCGUGACUGUCUCUUUCGUGAGUUCUUACUCCAAUCGAGGACACGGUGGGGUAAUGUCUAACGUAGGUAGGUGUUCAGGAUCAUUCAUUUGAUCAUUAGUAGCCACGACCGAUAUGCGUAGAUCAUCCCCCCUCUUAUUUCUGGUACUCGUAAGUUAGCCACCAAACAUAUGCUUAGUCGCUGCUGCAACCUCACCACUUUACCAUGCCCCACCUAAUAAGCUUUGCUAGUCUUGAUACCUUCGGAAAUGAGAUUGCUGAAUCCCCUGUGGCUCACAGAUUACUACAACACCAGUUGCAGGUACAUGUAAAGGUUACUUGAUGCGAGUGCGUUGAUUGUACAUUUGGAGUUGCUUCUUCUUCUUCUUCAUUGAUCUAGGAUGGGUUCCAUGCCGGCAGCCUGGGAUAGCAAGGAUGGACAUCGUUUCAUUUUCUCGUUUGUUUUCGUCCGUAGUCGGACCCUGCUCUUNNNNNNNNNNUGGAUAUGAGAUUGCCGAGUCUCCUGUGGCUCACAGAUUACUACAACACCAGUUGCAGGUACAUGUAAAGGUUACUUGACGCGAGCGCGUUGAUUGUACAUUUGGAGUUGCUUCUUCUUCUUCUUCAUCGAUCUAGGAUGGGUUCCAGGCCGGCAGCCUGGGAUAGCAAGGAUGGACGUCGUUUCAUUUUCUCGUUUGUUUUCGUCCGUAGUCGGACCCUGCUCUUACUCUUGAUGAUUAUGUAAUGUGCUGUUGUGACUCUGAUGUAGCUUGUGGCGAGUGUGAGCCAAGUCUCUAUGUAUAUCUUUUCUUUUUCAGUACAUGUACUUGUAAUGAUAUCCAUUCUGGCGACACAACGAGAUGCGCUUCUAUCCCUGACGAGGCCUUCGUGCCAAAUUAAGGAUAGGGUCACAUCUUGGGCGUGACAGAAGCUUCACCACAAUUGAUUGUGGCUCCGAGAUGACCUCAAAUGCUUGGGGCAAUAUCCACAACCUAAUUGGAGACCCUAUGCUCCACAAAGAUUGAGCUCCGAGGCAAGACCAAGCUUCUGUGAUGCCAAAGCACCCAAGAAGAACAAGCUCUAGGGUACUGAUGACACACAAGUAUAGGGGAUUAAUCGUAGUCCUUUCGAUAAGUAAGAGUGUCGAACCCAACGAGGAGCAGAAGGCUCUGAUAAACGGUUUUCAGCAAGGUAAUAACUGCAAGCACUGAAAGUAGCGGUAACAUGUGAUGGUGUAGUGAGGUGAAACGUAGCAGGUGAAAAGUAACAAGUAANNNNNNNNNNAAGCCAAGUCUCUAUGUAUAUCUCUUCUUUUCAGUACAUGUACUUGUAACGAUAUCCAUUUUUGCGACACGACGAGAUGCGCUUCUAUCCCUGACGACGCCUUCGUGCCAAAUUGAGGAUAGGGUCGCAUCUUGGGUGUGAUAAGUUGGUAUCAGAGCAGUACCGACCUAGGAGCCCCCUUGAUUGAUCGAACUUGGCCGAGUCGAGUCUAGUGAAAAACUGCUUUGAGUCUAGUUAUAUAUCGGAGAGUAGGAUUCUUUUUUCUCCUCUUCUAUGCUUUGGUGAGGAAUCUUGACAUAAUAAUUUAAUUCUACUCCUCUUCUCACUCAAUUUUUUUUAGGAUCACGCGGAUAUUUUUGAAAUCUAUAUGAUGCCGAUGUGACGGAGUUCUGUCUUGGUGCCUCCUAUCUGCUUUGAGUUUCACGGGAGUUGAGCUCCAGGGGAUUCUUGAGCACAUUGUUAUCAUUCAGAUUUCUUAGUAUCUCAGAACGAAGGAUGUUCGUAAUUGCUUCAAUACUAGUAGUGGCGAGAUAACCCCGAUGUCCCUAGUACUGGUGCAGAUUGUUCGGGAGUACUGCCAUACUUUGCAUCGUUGUGAUCACGAGGGUCUGUUGUAGGUGAAGGUCCAAGAUUCUGGUUGUGUGUUGACGGAUGUGAUACAGGUGACGGGUUAGUAUAGGAGUUGUGUGAUAUUACUCCUUGUAUCCGUGUACCAGAUUGCAUGACCAGAAAUUUCGGGAAUUCAUAGGUGGGAAUUCAAGUAGUUGCUUAUAGGACAAUCUUCCAACAAAUGCAUGAUGUUAGGUUGGGGUUCGACAUCUAGUGCGAUCCUAUCCACGAAAAUAUCGAACGAAAAUCUUUCUCAUGAGUUUGUUCUGGCUUGUUUCAUAAGCCUCACUCUUUGUUUUGUUGGAAUAUGGUAAUUCAAGUUGCUUCGAUGUCAAGUGGUGAUUUCAGAUCUUUCCUAAGAGCUGUUCUCGUAUUUUAUGGGAAUACUAAUCCUUUUGAUUAAUCAAUCGUGUUAUCAAUUCUUGUCAACCGGAGUCGUCAUGUUAAUCCUUUUCAACCGGUGUGUUUCUCUUCAAGUAAUCCUAUCCUCUCCAAUUUUGCAAGAUCAUUCUCUCAUUUUAUUCCGGAGUUCAUCUCAUCUGUCACAUGUUGUCUUUGUUUUUUUCCCGCCCUCCCACCAUUUUCUUCAGUGAUUCAAUUUUCAUCCAAGAGAUUUCUUUUCAUUAUGCUACCGCUAUGUGUUCUUUUCUCUCUUAUCCGGUGAUUCGUUGUGAAGAGUCUCAGGAGCUUCGUGUUCAUCUUUAUUCAAUCUUGUCAUCUUUCCCGGUGAAUUCAAUUUAAUUAUCCGUGUUCAUUGUAUCCUAUUCAUCCUUGUAAUUUUUUACCCAUGUUGGAAAUUCGCAUCAGUCUUCUUAUUGUCAUUUCUCUCUAUUCCAUCCGGAGUGCUGAAGUUAUCUCAGAGGUUCUUGUUUCCAAUCCUUUCAAUUAUUUCGAGGUGCUAUUCUCAUCUAGUUGGCUUUAUACCGGUGCAUUCUCUCUUUCUAAUCUAUUGUUUCAACGGUGAUUUCUUUGAGUGGGCCCAUAACCCACAGGUUUUUCCCAGGAUCUUAUAUGUCUCUUCUAUUUUUCCAGAGAUCUCUAAAUCUGUUCAACUAGGACGUAAGUAUGAAUUUCAUCAGUCAUAUCCCUUCUUCAAGUUCUAUUUGAAUUAAUUCUCAUAUUUGGCUCAACCUUGCAUUCUUCUUUAUUUCGGAGUGUCUCAUUAAUUCUUGGUGUUGCUCUCGUCAUCAUUCUCAUCUCGCAAUUCGAAGGAGUGUUUUACUCGAAUCUUGGUCUAUUCUCUUGUAGAUUCAUCAUUUCAGCCUUGUGCCAUCAUCUUGAAUUAUUCCCAAUCAUGAGUAAUCUCUUUCUUGCUAUCCGAUGCAUUUCUGAGUUGUUUUCAUUCUCGAUCCUCCGAAGGCCAUCAUUUCAGAAGAUUCUUCGUUCUCAGCUUUCAGCUUUCAUCCUCAUUUCUUCUCAAUUGUUGUCUCUUCGUUCGUCUCUCGAUUAUCCGGUGCCUUGUUUAAGUUUUCUUCUCUCAGGUGGCUCAUGAUCUCUUCAUUCUCGUGUAUCUCCAUUCGUUCAGGGUUGCCUCGUUCAUUUCAAUUCUCACCGGUGUUUCUUGCAACAUUUAUUCUAUUUUGUGCUUUAUUUAUCUCUCUGUCUCUUCAAGGUUCUUUCAAGAGGAAUAAGUUGUAUGCUAAAUCCGUUGCUUGUCAUCAAUUAAACUUGAUGAUGGAUAAACAUAACAAAAUUCUUAUUCUUAUUCAUAGUAAUCUGAAUUCUUCUUCCGGAGUGGCUUAUGAUAUCAAUUAUUUUCUCAAGUGUUAUUAUCUUUUCUUUUCCGGAGUUCCAAGUUUUCUCAAGUGUCUCAUCGUGAAGCUUCAUCGAACUCUUCGCAAGGCUUCAAUCUUAUUCUUUCAUCCUUCAUAUCUUUGCAUCAUUCAUUUGUAUACGGAGGUCCUUCAUGGUGGUUCAUCAAGGUUUCAAUCCAUUCUCAAGUGUUCUUCAAGAUUCUUGUUGGAGUACCUCAAGCAUUCUUUCCCUUGCAUUUCAGUGCAUUUGUUCUUCCUUUAUCCUUUGAGGUGGUAUUAUAGCAUUCUUUUUAGUGUAGGAGCCUCGAAGAGUUUUUCCUUUCAAGAAGGAGAUAAUUAAACCCACCAAUUCUAUGUUCAUGAGUUAUUUCUACCCAUGAUUUCUUCAUUGAGCUAUCUUGGUUUGGAUUCACCUAAAGCUUUUCCUAUGGAUUGUUGCUUUCAUGGUGCUUGUCUUUAAUCCAAGUUCUCAAUGUGUCCUCUUGGGUAAGAAUUGUCCAUAUCUUGUUUCUCCCAAUCAAUCCUUGUUUCUGUUAGUGGUUGGUUGUCACUUCAUUAGUUUGAAAAGGUUUCCAUAGGCCCUCUACUAUCUUGUUCUUUUCGUUGUUGUUUUCCAACAACUCCGUUCAAUUCUUCUUGCAAGGAUGCUUGCCAAGUUCAUUUGAGAUAAUUGUUGUCAUUCUUUUUUUUCAUUCUCUUCUUCCGUAUGAGCUAGUUCCUAUUCUUUUGUUCCGGAGGCAUUGUGAUGUUGCUCUUUUGGGUCUAUCGUGUUAUUCUACCAAGAUCAUGGUGUUCCCUUGCUCUAUUUACUUGUUUGUUCUGAAUAUUGUCUAAUUCUUCCUUCUUAUCAAAUUUUUUGUCCCAUUUUCCUACCGAAGUGCUGCCGAAAUUUUCCGUGAAUUCUUGCUUCUUUCCCAUGUCAUUCCUCAUCUCUUUGCAACCUUCAAGGAUCGUUGGUUUCACUCAUUUGUCAAAGAAGCGACUAAGUUUUAACCUAUUCUUCUUUCUCACCCUCUCCCCCUUUCAUUCUUGGAUCUCGGGGCGAGAUCCUCUUGUAGUGUAGGAGAGUUGUGACAGCCCGAUGCCGACGUUCCAGAAGAUUCCCUUUCCUUUCCGUUUUCGUCGUGUGUCUGUUUUAUUUUGUCGCAUCAUCAUCGCAUCAUUCGCAACAUCUGCAUUGCAUCGGUAUCUCCGUUGCCGUCAGUUUUCAAACUUGCAUCCGUUAGUAGUUGCCGGUUCUCGACGUUGCCCGUUCCGAGCCCGACCGCACACGCCCGCGACAUCGUUCGAAAACCUUGUUUUAGAAGUGUGUUUGAAACUUUCUCUGAUCGGGUUGAGAUUUGACGUGCGGUCUUAUUUUGAUAUAGCUAGGCCGCAUGUCGAAUUUCGUCGCGAUCGGAGUUCGUCUGGUACCCGAACGGUCGACCGUAGCGGCAUCGUCUCCGGUUAUUCGUCGGACAUCUGUCGGUGUAUUAAAAAAUCGUUGCCAUGCCGCCCGCUGUGCCUCUCGUCUCCAGUAAACCCCUCUACACGGUCGCGUACCCAUUCCCACGUGCGGAAUCGUCCGAGUCCGACCGCACGGUUGGAUCCGAAAUGAGAUUCCGGUUAACCGAGCCCCUCUUUUCUCUAUAAAUACCCCCUCCAUCAUAAUUUUCACACAUCACCCUUGUUUGCCUCGAAAAGCGUGCAAACCCUCUCUCUCUCCUCGCAGCACCUCCUCCCCCCAGCCGCCGCGGCCCGCCGAGCCUAGAUCGGGCCCGCCGAGCCCAUCUGGCCGCCACCCCUGAUCUGCACCUCCCGAGCUGCAGCUCCACCGGGCGAAGUGCUUCCCCCGCCGGCCCCGCGCCACACCGCCGCAUCCCCCCGGCAACCGGAGCCCCAGCGCCGCCGGAGUAGGUCCUGCCGGCCAGAUCGAGCCUCGCCGACCCUCUCCUCCGGUUUCUCUCUCUCUCUAAUCUCUCCGCCCUCUCUUUCUCCCACAGGAUGGCCCAUGGCGUCAUGGGAGCUGCCUGAGCUCGCUGCUGUGGAGCUUGCCGACCCCGUCGCCGGCCGGAUCCGGGUCGGAGGGCCCCGUCCCUGGCCUCCCUCGCCGCCAGGGAAGGCUGCCGCCGCCGCCAAGCCCGUUGCCUCGAGCACCUUCACGAGGAGGACGAAGCCCUCAUUCGCUCGCCGUUGACCACCUCCCCAGCAGGCCUGAUCUCCUCCCCCUGUUCGACCCAAGCGCCAGGCCGAGGCCCCGACCGGCCCAUCUCCUCGGCCAGCCCCACCCCGAGCGCCACUGCUCCAGGCCGGCCCAGCUCCUGGGCCAGAUUUAGCCCGCGAGGUAAGCGCCCCCCGAGCCCACUAUUCCCCGCCCUAGGCGGCUGGUUUUAAGUUGUGCAUGCCCAGUUUUGGCCCGUAGCGUUUUAGGAUUUUUCUGGGAAUUUACUAUUUUCAGAUAAAUACUAUUUUUUUCAAACGCCCGUAACUUUCGAACCGUAAUUCGGAUCGCGAUGAAUUAGAUAUGGAUUUCGCGUAGUUUUGCGCAUAGAAUACGUUGGCGCUACUUGCAUAUUUGUUUGGCGCCGUUUGGCGUGCUGUCCCAAUAGGUUUAGUCGCGUAUUUAAUUUUCCGNNNNNNNNNNCUUGCCCGUAUACCGUAGAUUAAAUGCCCAUGUUUUAGGAACCAUUUUCCCAUGUAUUUUAGAGCGGUCAUAGGUAUUUUUGCAUGUAUGGGUUGUCGGUAGUUUAUUUUCCCAUGUAUAGGUUGUUUUUCCCGCAUUUAUGUGUGGCUUUAUUUUGUUGUGCAACCCCGCAUAUUUUAUAUGUUUCCGGGGUAGAAAAAUCCAUUGGAUUUUUCUGUGAAGUUAAUUUUAGCGUUUGAGUAAGUUAGUUCGCGCGAUAUUUUGCCAUGAUGCCCUUUUGUUNNNNNNNNNNNNNNNNNNNNNNNNNNNNNNNNNNNNNNNNNNNNNNNNNNNNNNNNNNNNNNNNNNNNNNNNNNNNNNNNNNNNNNNNNNNNNNNNNNNNGAACUAACUUACUCAAACGCUAAAAUUAACUUCACAGAAAAAUCCAAUGGAUUUUUCUACCCCGGAAACAUAUAAAAUAUGCGGGGUUGCACAACAAAAUAAAGCCACACAUAAAUGCGGGAAAAACAACCUAUACAUGGGAAAAUAAACUACCGACAACCCAUACAUGCAAAAAUACCUAUGACCGCUCUAAAAUACAUGGGAAAAUGGUUCCUAAAACAUGGGCAUUUAAUCUACGGUAUACGGGCAAGUCGAACACGCGCGGAAAAUUAAAUACGCGACUAAACCUAUUGGGACAGCACGCCAAACGGCGCCAAACAAAUAUGCAAGUAGCGCCAACGUAUUCUAUGCGCAAAACUACGCGAAAUCCAUAUCUAAUUCAUCGCGAUCCGAAUUACGGUUCGAAAGUUACGGGCGUUUGAAAAAAAUAGUAUUUAUCUGAAAAUAGUAAAUUCCCAGAAAAAUCCUAAAACGCUACGGGCCAAAACUGGGCAUGCACAACUUAAAACCAGCCGCCUAGGGCGGGGAAUAGUGGGCUCGGGGGGCGCUUACCUCGCGGGCUAAAUCUGGCCCAGGAGCUGGGCCGGCCUGGAGCAGUGGCGCUCGGGGUGGGGCUGGCCGAGGAGAUGGGCCGGUCGGGGCCUCGGCCUGGCGCUUGGGUCGAACAGGGGGAGGAGAUCAGGCCUGCUGGGGAGGUGGUCAACGGCGAGCGAAUGAGGGCUUCGUCCUCCUCGUGAAGGUGCUCGAGGCAACGGGCUUGGCGGCGGCGGCAGCCUUCCCUGGCGGCGAGGGAGGCCAGGGACGGGGCCCUCCGACCCGGAUCCGGCCGGCGACGGGGUCGGCAAGCUCCACAGCAGCGAGCUCGGGAAGCUCCCAUGACGCCAUGGGCUAUCCUGCGGGAGAAAGAGAGGGCGGAGAGAUUAGAGAGAGAGAGAGAAACCGGAGGAGAGGGGCGACGAGGCUCGAUCUGGCCGGCAGGACCUGCUCCGGCGGCGCUCGGGCUCCGGUAGCCGGCGGGAUGCGGCGGUGUGGCGCGAGGCCGGCGGGGGAAGCACUUCGCCCGGAGGAGCUGCAGCUCGGGAGGUGCAGAUCGGGGGCGGCGGCCAGAUGGGCUCAGCGGGCCCGAUCUGGGCUCGGCGGGCCGCGGCGGCUGGGGGGAGGAGGUGCUGCGGGGAGAGAGAGGGUUUGCACGCUUUUCGAGGCAAAGGAGGGUGAUGUUUGAAAAUUAUGAUGGAGGGGGUAUUUAUAGAGAAAAGAGGGGCUCGGUUAACCGGAAUCUCAUUUCGGAUCCAACCGUGCGGUCGGACUCGGACGAUUCCGCACGUGGGAAUGGGUACGCGACCGUGUAGAGGGGUUUACUGGAGACGAGAGGCACAGCGGGCGGCAUGGCAACGAUUUUUUAAUACACCGACAGAUGUCCGACGAAUAACCGGAGACGAUGCCGCUACGGUCGACCGUUCGGGUACCAGACGAACUCCGAUCGCGACGAAAUUCGACAUGCGGCCUAGCUAUAUCAAAAUAAGACCGCACGUCAAAUCUCAACCCGAUCAGAGAAAGUUUCAAACACACUUCUAAAACAAGGUUUUCGAACGAUGUCGCGGGCGUGUGCGGUCGGGCUCGGAACGGGCAACGUCGAGAACCGGCAACUACUAACGGAUGCAAGUUUGAAAACUGACGGCAACGGAGAUACCGAUGCAAUGCAGAUGUUGCGAAUGAUGCGAUGAUGAUGCGACAAAAUAAAACAGACACACGACGAAAACGGAAAAGGAAAGGGAAUCUUCUGGAACAUCGGCAUCGGGCUGUCACAGCUUCGUCGUGUUCUUGGGAGCCUCCAAUUAAGUUGUGGAGAUUUCCCCAACCUUGUUUGUACGGGUUCGAUGACCACCCUCAAGCGUCCCUUAGUGGAAUCACAUCAUCUUUCAUUGUGCGAGGGCGUGAGAAGAUUACGGUGUCCUUAGUGGCUUCUUGGGGAGCAUUGCACCUCCACACCGCUCCAAACGGAGAUUAGCUUCCGCAAGGGUGUGAACUUCAGGAUACAUCCUCAUCUCUUUGUGCCUCGAUUAUCUCUUACCUGAGCCCUUUACUUAUGCACUUUACUUUGUGAUAGCCAUGUCGUUUCUUGUUAUAUAUCUUGCUAUCACUUACUGUUUAUCUUGCUUAGCAUAAGUUGUUCGUGUACUGAUAUGUCCCAAACGUAUCUAUAAUUUCUGUUUGUUCCAUGAUCUUUUGGGUGACAUUGUUAUAUGUUUUGCUACACUUUCAUACCAUUUUACACAUAUUUGUACUAACCUACUAACUCAGUGCACCGAGUGCCAGUUUCUAUCUACUAAUGUCUUUUUUGCAAGGACUUUUACCCAAAUUUCGAGAGCCCCAAAAAUCCCGAUAAAAAUAUAUAAAAAUCAGCGUGACGGAAGCUUCGAGAGCACCAAAGGUGGGCCAGAGGGGAGCCAGGGCUUGCCCAGGCGGCCUCCCUGCGCGUCCUGGCCCCUAGCCGCGCCCACUGGUCGCCUGGGUGGGGGCCACCUCCUCUGGUGCCCUCUCUGGUAGGAAACCCUUCCAUGAGAUCCAGAAUCGUGAAUUUCUCCAUUGUUCCGCCGCCACAGCGCUUCUGAGAUCGGGAGCACAAGAAGACCUCUUCCCGGCACCCUACCGGAGGGAGGAUUGACCUCUGGGAGCUUCUCCACCACCAUGGACGCUUCUCGGAUGUGCCGUUAGUAGUCCUCCUUGGACCAUGAGUCCAUGACCAGUAGCUAUGUGAUGUCUUCUCUCCAAUCUUAUGCUUCCAUGAUUAGCCCUUGUGAGCUGCCCUACAUGAUCAAGGCAUCUAUGUAAUUUUCCUGCUAUUGCUAUGUUUGGUUUGCUGGGAUCGGAUGGAUUAUGAGAUUAUGUUUAGAUUGUGAUGAAUUAUAUAUUUGGUUCUACUUUUAUUAUGUUCUUAGGUAAUUCAUGCAUGUUCUCCAUUGCUUUUUAUUGCUUUGGCCGAGUAGUAGAUUGUAACUCCAAGAGGGAGCGUUAUGAUGAUUGUGGGUUCAUGCCCCCUCAUGUCUAGCUUGAGUGACAGAAACAUGAGACUAGGGGAUGUGUUGUUGCCACCAGGGAGAAAACAAUGGUGCUUGUGACCACGGUUGCAAGGAUUGUUUACCUUACGCAAAGUUCGUUAAUGCAGUUGUACGUUGCUUUGAAUUUGCACUUUGGGUGGGGCUCCAAACUUAAUACCAGCGAGAUGUUCUGGAUAUAUAUCUCAAGGUGGAUGAUUAGUAAGUAGAUGCUGAUGAAUAAACGGUCUACUUGUCUUGCGGUACUGCCCAUUACUUUUGAGCCUCUAACUUUCUAGUAGCAUGAUUAGCAUUGCGAUGUUUAUAAUUCUAUCAAUUGCCCAGCUGUAAUUUGUUUACCCAGCAUAGUUUUUUAUCGUCUUUUGGGAGAGGGACAUCACUAGUGAACAUCAUGUGACUCGGGUCCAUAUUACCACCAUUGCUUACACCUCCAUCAUUUACUGCUUUCAUUUACUUUUCCAUUGCAAUGACUAUCACUAUUCCCGCUUGUGCUUUGAUACUUUGCAAACUACAACGCCGGAGAGAUUGACAAUCUCUCUAUACUCAUUGGAGCAAAGUUAUUUGUUGUGUGUGCAGGUCCACAUCUUGUGCUAGCGCCAGAGCAGCGGAAACCUACUUGUUGAUCCUCGGAGUCCUCCUGGUUCGAUAAACCUUACAAUCCCCGUGUAAGGGAAAUCUGUUGCUGACUACAUCUCCACCUUCCACUUGGGGUAACCAACGAGGAACGAGAAUUAUAUCCAUCAACUCGUCAUCAAGCAAAUUUCUGGCGCUGUUGCCGGGGACUCCAGUCUUCAAGAUAGGGGAGUUGAACACUAUAUCUUACCUUUGUUUUUUAGUCUUGUUAGUUUGCUUUCUAGUUUUUGCCUUAGAGUCUUAUACCAAAAACCACAAAAAAAUAGUUGCUUUGUUAUUGCUUGUUGCUGCUGCUAUGGGUUCCACUGAGAACACCAAGUUGUGUGACUUCACUAGUCACAACAACAAUGACUUUAUCUGCACUCCUAUUGCUGCUCCCGCCACUAAGGCGACCUCCUAUGAGCUUAAACCUGCUUUACUAAACCUUGUUAUGAAAGAUAAAUUCUCCGGUGCUGGAGAUGAGGUUGCUUUGCACUUGAAUAAUUUUGUUGAGCUCUAUGAUAUGCAAAAAUAUAAAGAAGUAUAUGGUCAUAUUAUUAAACUUAAGCUUUUUUCCUUUCUCCUUGAGAGGAGCAGCUAAAGUGUGGCUUCAAUCUUUGCCUAGGAAUAGCAUAGAUUCUUGGGAUAAGUGCAAAGAUGCUUUUGUUGGGAAGUAUUACCCGCGUGCUAAGAUUAUCUAGUUAAGAAGUAACAUUAUGAAUUUUAACCAACUAGAUAAUGAACACGUUGCCCAAGCUUGGGAACGUAUGAAAUCUCUUGUUAAGAAUUGCCCUAUACAUGGUUUGACUACUUGGAUGGUUAUCCAAACUUUCUAUGCAGGGUUGAACUUUACCUCGUGGAAUUUGUUGGACUCGGCCGCGGGAGGAACCUUUAUGUCAACUACACUUGGUGCUGCCGCGGAACUAUUGGAUGAGAUGAUGACAAAUUAUUCUCAAUGGCACACCGAGAGAGCUCCAACAGGUAGGAAGGUAAACUCUGUUGAGGAGAUCUCCUCCCUUAAUGAUAAGGUUGACAUGAUCAUGACUUUACUUACUAAGAAAGCUCCUAUCGAUCCUCAUGAUGUUCCUUUAAAUUCUUUGGUUGCUCAAGAAAGAGGGCAAGUUGAUGUUAACUUAUUCUCUAGGAACAACUUUAAUAAUAAUGCUUAUAGGAUUAAUUUUGGUAGCAAUCCUGUUCCCAUCCAACAACUAUGGGAACAACAACACUUAUCCUAGCACCCAAAACUCCACUUCUGAAUUAGAGAGAAUGCUUAAAGACUUUAUCACUUCUCAAAAAGCCUUCAACAAGAGUGUAGAAGAGAAAUUAGAAAAAUUAGAUAAUCUCUCUUUGAAGGUAGACAACAUAGCUCAUGAUGUAGAGAUGCUUAAAUUAGAACUCCCCCCCUUGAGGAAAGGAAAACCACACCCAUGAAUGCUAUCCAAGUCCAAAUUAAUGAGAACAUAAGAAUGCUAGCCAAACUUAAGGAUAGAUGGGCUAGAGAAAAAGAAGAGGAAGAUAGGAUUAAGAGCCUUCCUACACACACUACCCUUGCUACUAUACAAGUUGUUGAGGAUCUCAAAAAAUUUAGCACCCAUCACACCCCUAGUUCCAAUGGACCUAUUAAUGGUGAUGCUAAUACCUCAAUUAUAGGACAAGAAGGUCCUUUGAAUUUAGAGACUACCAAAAGAAUGAGCUUAGAUGACAUUACCACCACUUUAAUUAAUGGUAGUAAUCUUGAUUUUGACAAUUGUAGUCUUUCCGAAGUUAUCACUUUUUUGCAAAGAAUGGCUAAAGACCCCCACACUAGUACACUCAAUAUUGCCUUCACCGAGCAUAUUACCAAUGCUCUUAUCAAAGCUAGGGAGGAGAAGCUCAAGCUAGAGACUUCUAUUUCUAGAAAACUAGAAUAUGUUGGGACCCUAUGGUCAAGAUUAAAUUGAAUAAUAUCUCUUUCUUUGCUUUAUGUGAUGUUGGAGCUAGUGCCUCCGUUAUGCCAAAUGUAUGAUAUGCUUGAUUUGAAACCUUUUGACCAAUGUUCUUUUGGUGUUCGUCUUGUUGAUUCUUCCAUAAAGAAACCUUUAGGGAGAAUUGAUGAUGUUCUUAUUGUUGUCAAUGAUAAUUAUGUUCCCGUUGAUUUUCUUAUUAUGGACAUUGAGUGUGAUCCCUCAUGUCCAAUUAUUUUGGGACGUGCUUUUCUCCGCCCCGUUGGUGUUAUAAUUGACAUGAAAGAAGGGACCAUUAGAUUCCAAUUUCCCCUUAAAAAGGGAAUGGAACACUUCCCUCGAAAGAAGAUUAAGUUACCUUAUGAGUCCGUUAUUCGGGCAAGUUAUUCUUAUGGAGUUGAUAAUACUUGAUCUUUUUUGCAUCAUGUCUAGGCCAAGGGCAUAAAAGAAAGCACUUGUUGGGAGGCAACCCAACUUGUUUUUAUUUUCAGUUUUAGAGACCUUGAUGCUUGUUACUACUGUAGAAACAUCAUUGUAUCUUUAUUUUCAAGCUUUGUGCCAAGUUUUAGCCUUCGAUUGCAAGAAAGUUCAAAAGUUGUGACAUGUUGUCCAGAAACAGAUUAUGUGUGCUUGACGGAAAAAAUCAAUAAAAAACACCAGAUCAUAUUUUUGAUCUGAAAUCUGAAUGGCUUUGAAAAUAUGCUCUAUAUAAUUGUCUUUCUGGCGUCUGUUCUGAGUUUUUUUAUUAGAGUUGCAUAAGUGCCCCGAAAAAAUAAUUUACUACGUGUUGUUCUGUUUGUCACAAAUUCUGCCACGUUUUGAGUUUUCAUCAUUUUGCAAAUCUUAAGCUUGCUUUUCCUUUGCAAAAAUAUUUUGGCAAUAUUGAGAAAAAAUAGCUUUUCAUGAAAAUCUUUAUUUCGAGUAGGGAAUUAAUUGUUUUAUUAUGGGCACUAACCACUCUAAUCAGCUUAUGAUGAGUUUCGUAUGAAGGGAGUUUUCAAGUAUGUGAUGGAAGAUGAUGAAAGAAGAUCCAGGACUGUCAAGCACUCAAGCUUGGGUAUGCCCCAUGCACCCCAAGAAAUAUUCAAGUAGACUCAAGCAUCUAAGCUUAGGGAUUCCCCCGUGCAUCCCCUUCUCUAUCAACAAUCAUCAGUUCGUCCUUCUCCAUGCUAUAUUUUUAUCACUUUGUAUGUUAUGUGCUACGCUUGGAGUGUACCGCUCUUUACUUUUUAGUUUGUUUUAGUUUUGCUUUCUGUUCAUAACAAGUUGGAACCUAGCCUUCCUUGUUUGGGAGAGAAACAGGCUCCACUCCACUCUAGAACACAACAUAGGUUUUCAUGCUUAUCCUUUUUGUGUGUUCUCUAUCUUUUCAUAGCUGCUGUCAUGCUUAGCUCUUAGUUUUCACGCUUUAUCUUUUUAAGAGCUUUUAUUUAGGUUGCUUUUGGAACUCUCUUGAGUUAUCAUGCUUAUCUUGUUUAGAGAGUUAUCUUGUUGCAUUAAAUUGUGUGUCUUGCAUGAGUAGGUAAUUGAGGUUGCUAUUUAUGUAUAGUAGUAACUUGCAAUAGUUUUGAGGUAUUGAUUUGAGUAAUAUUUGCACUAUUGGUGCCAAGAGCUUGAGGCUAUUAGUGAUAGGUGUCGUAUUUUGGGAAAUCCAUGUGUUUUUCAAAAACUAAAAAUUAGUUGAGAACUCUAGCUAUUAAAUUGACCGCUAACCUCUAGAGGGGUUGGAAUAUAUAGAGUACCCUCACGUUAUCAUGGGUCGAGGAAGCGCAAGGAUAACCAAACCCCCAAACACUCCUCUUUGGUCCUUGUCUCUUUGAGAAUUUCUUGACUAUAUAGAGAGUUACCGAUAAUAAGUGUAUGAGUUCUUCGGACUAAUGCGAGUACUCGAUUGUUGGCACUUCCACCAUCCAUAUUUUGCUAGCCUCUUCGGUACCGUGCAUUGCGCUUUCUCAUCUUUAGAGUUGGUGCAAACUUCGCUCGUGCAUCCAAACCCUUGGCAUGAUACGCUCUGUCAUCAUAAGCCUCAUUAUAUCCUUCCUCAAAACAGCCACCAUACCUACCUAUUAAGGCAUUUCCAUAGCCUUUCCGAGAUACAUUGCCAUGCAACAUACACCAUCUCAUGACUUGAUCUUCAUGUCAUACAUGUUUUUUCUUGAUCGAGGAACCGCAUGCUAGUUGGGCCUUGCCUUUAUUAUUUCUACAUGACGCGCUAGUUUCAUUGCAUAUCCUGCUACACUGGCAGAGGCAGACAUUUGCAUACAUCAUGAUAGUUUUCAUUUGUCUUUAUGUUGAGUACUUCUUAUAAAGUGUGAAGAUCUUAUUUUUACUCUUGUAAGACAUAGAGUGUUGCCCUUAAGUGGGGAAAAGAUCCCAAAGAGGACAACUUAAAAGAUCCCAAAGAGGUCAAAUUAAAAGAUCGCAAAGAGGACAAAUGAGAGAUAAAUAUAAAGAGCCAAAGAGGCCACCAAAAAAAGAGAAGGGGGCAACACUACUAUUCCUUUUGAAAGAUCCACACUUGUACUCCAUCGUUAUAGUUGUACUACAUAGAGAUUAUCAUUCAUGCGUAACUAUGUGGGGACCUUUACACUAUAGAACUUGGCUUGUAUAUUCCAAUGAUAAGCCUCCUCAAAUGAGCUCUAGGUCUUCAUGAGCAAGCAAGUUCGAUGCACCCCCCACUAGUUCCAUUGGAGAGCUUACCUUAGCUCAUAUGUGCAUCCGUUGCAUGGAAAUCCCUACUCCUCACAUCAUAUCUAUCAUUUGGAUUUCUCUCGCCUAUGGUUGUCCUCAUUGAUGUGAGCCUCUCACACCUUUUUGUCUUCCUUCCCCAUCAUUAUUCUCUUUGCCAUCCUAAGUGCCAACAUAUAUUGCUUGCGCUCAUCCAUUGCAUGAGUGCUCAAAGUCGAAAGGGAGAGGAUCAUUUUGACUUAUGCCUGACUAGUGGUCUGGGGAUAAGUCAAAAUAAGAUUCCAAAGGAGACCAAGUGUGAAGUUUUACUAGAUUGAGUUCUCAAUUAAACUAUAUUUUUAAUGCUCUCAACCCAUCUCCCCCUUCUUGCACGGCAAACACCAUUUGGAGACAUUCGAGUUACGGACAGCGAGAGCUCUUGCACCUUUAUGUUCUUACUUUGCUAUUUUCAAUACUAGGUAUAGACUCUUGUUUGUUAUUGUCUUGACUUGAAUUUCAUAUCUUACUUGCUUUACUUUGAAGUUAUUAUAUGUGUGUUAGCAUGUCACCAUAGAAAUUAUUUGUGUUAUCAUUUACCUACUCAAGGACGAGCUGGAAUUAAGCUUGGGGAUGUUGAUACGUCCCAAACGUAUCUAUAAUUUAUGUUUGUUCCAUGAUCUUUUGGGUGACAUUGUUAUAUUUUUUGCUACACUUUCAUACCUUUUUACACAUAUUUGGACUAACUUACUAACUCUAUCCACCCAGUGGCAGUUUCUGUCUACUAGUGUCUUUUUUGCAAGGACUUUUACCCAAAUUUCAAGAGCCCCAAAAAUCCCGAGAAAAAUAUAUAAAAAUCAGCGUGACGGAAGCUUCUAGAGCACCAAAGGUGGGCCAGAGGGGAGCCAGGGCUUGCCUAGGCGGCCUCCCUGCGCGGCCUGGCUCCUAGCCGCGCCCACAGGUCGCCUGGGUGGGGCCCACCUCCUCUAGUGCCCUCCUUCGGCCUAUAUUUACCUCUCCAAUAGGAAACACUUCCAUGAGAUCCAGAAUCGCGAAUUUCUCCAUCGUUCCGCUGCUGCGGCGCUUUUGAGAUCGGGAGCGUCAGAAUACCUCCUCUCGGCACCCUGUCGAAGGGAGGAUUGACCUCCGAGAGCUUAUCCACCACCAUGUACGCUUCUCGGACAUGCCGUGAGUAGUCCUCCUUGGACCAUGAGUCCAUGACCAGUAGCUAUGUGAUGUCUUCUCUCCAAUCUUGUGCUUCCAUGAUUAGCCCUUGUGAGCUGCCCUACAUGAUCAAGGCAUCUAUGUAAUUUUCCUGCUAUUGCAAUGUUUGGUUUGCUGGGAUCCAAUGGAUUAUGAGAUUAUGUUCAUAUUGUGAUGAGUUAUAUAUUUGGUUCUCCUUUUAUAUUAUGUUCUUAGGUAAUUCAUGCAUGUUCUCCAUUGCUUUUUAUUUCUUCGGCCGAGUAAGUAGAUUGUAACUCCAAGAGGGAUCUUUAUGCAUGAUUGUGCGUUCAUGCCCCUGAUGUCUAGAUUGAGUGACAGAAACACGAGACUAGGGGAUGUGCUAUUGCGACGAGGGAGAAAACGACGGUGCUUGUGACCACGGUUGCAAGGAUUGUUUACCUGACGCAAAGUUCGUUAAUGCAGUUGCCCGUUGCUUUGAGUUUACACUUUGGGUGGGGCUCGCAACUUAAUACCAGCGAGAUGUUCUGGAUAGAUAUCUCAAGGUGGAUGAUUAGUAAGUAGAUGUUGAUGAAUAAACGGUCUACUUGUCUUGGCGUACUGCCCAUUGCUUUUGAGCCUCUAACUUUCUAGUAGCAUGAUUAGCAUUGCGGUGCGUUUAUAAUUCUGUCAAUUGCCUAGCUGUAAUUUGUUUACCCAGCAUAGUUGUUUAUCGUCUUUUGGGAGAGUGACAUUACUUGUGAACAUCAUGUGACUCAGAUCCAUAUUACCACCAUUGCUUACACCUCCAUCAUUUACUGCUUUCAUUUACUUUUCCGUUGCAAUCACUAUCACUAUUCCCGCUUGAGCUUUGAUCCUUUGCAAACUACAAGCCUGGAGAGAUUGACAACCUCUGUGUACUCGUUGGAGCAAAGUUAUUUGUUGUGUGUGCAGGUCCACGUCUUCUGCUAGCGCCAAAGCAGAGGACACCUACUUGUUGAUCCUUGGAGUCCUCCUGGUUCGAUAAACCUUACAGUCCUCGUGUAAGAGAAAUCUGAUGCUGACUACAUCUCCACCUUCCACUUGGGGUAACCAACCAGGGG